GCAGCAUGUUGCGAGCUAUACUAUUGAUCUUUUGUCUUACCUACCCGGUCAGUUCGACGGAAAACUAUGUCUUUGGGGGAUGUAUUAGUUUAAAUACGUUUUGUGACAAAACAAAUUGUCCAAAUUGUCCAGACAAUACAUAUGGUGUUGAGUGUUGGGACAAAGUUCCAGAUUGUUCCGAUCAAACCAAGCGAUGCCAGUGUUAUACUGAUUAAGGUUCAAGAAGUUCAACCAAGCCAGAGUGAGGAGAGAACGGCAUUAACCUAGAUAAAAACAUAUUAAAUUCCAAAAUGAACUGCAUCAUCGCGUGAUGUAGCGAACUCGCUUGAAAAUUAAAACAUAAAUAACCUA